GAUCUACAACGUCGGCGAAGAGCGUCACGACGUCGCGAUCGCAGAAUGUGAAUACCGUGUCGA
rnacentral:sRNA from 1 species